CUUUUUAUGGUUCACUAAGGACAAUCAACCCCUUCGCAAUCUAGAACCAAAAGACUGGAUCUUCUGAGAACAUCUACUUAGUAUGAUGCCUCUGGCUUCCCUCUAUCACACGUCUUCUUUUCGAGUAAAGGUUUUUCAUAAAUGUGAGCGUGGAAGAAGAAACCAGUUAAAUAUGGAACUUCACACCAGGACACAAAAGGACUUCAAACUUUUAGAUUCCACAAGUAUGUGAAAAGAUGCAGUAUUUGUCUUUCUGUGCAUGGUUUACUUCACUUAUCAUCAUGUCCCUCAGGUUCAUCCACGUUGUUGCAAAUGACAGGAUUUCAUUCAUUUUUAAGACUGAAUAGUACUCCAUUAUGCAAAUAUACCAGAUUUUCAUUGUCUAUUCGUUCACUGAUGAACACGGGUUAAUCCUAUAUGUUGGCUAUUGUGAAUAAAGCUGCAAUGAAUAUGAGAGUACAGAUAUAUUCUUGACAUAUUAAUUUUAUUUUAUUUGGCAAUAUACCCAAUAGUAGCUAGAUCAUAUCAGAGUUCUAUUUUUAAUUUUUGAGGAAACUUCAUACUGUUUUUCAUAAUAGUUAUUACUAAUUUACACUCAGUAUACAAGAGUUCCCUUUUCUCCACAUUCUUUCCAAAAUUUGUUUCCUUUUCCCUUUUUGAUAACAGCUACUCUAACUGGGGUGAAAUAAUAUCUCACUGUGGUUUUAAUUUUCAUUUAUCUGAUUAAUGAUUUUGAGCUUUUUAAAAUAAAUACUUGUUGGCAAUUUGUAUGUCAUCUUUUGAGAAGUGUCUAUUAAAAU
rnacentral:lncRNA from 10 species